rnacentral:rRNA from 1 species
UACAGAGGUCCCGAGCGUUGUUCGGAUUCACUGGGCGUAAAGGGUGCGUAGGUGGUGAGGUGUGUCGGAUGUGAAAUCUCGGAGCUCAACUCCGAAACUGCAUUGGAAACUACCUUGCUGGAGGGUUGGAGGGGGGACUGGAAUACUUGGUGUAGCAGUGAAAUGCGUAGAUAUCAAGUGGAACACCAGUGGCGAAGGCGAGUCCCUGGACAACUCCUGACACUGAGGCACGAAAGCUAGGGGAGCAAACAGGAUUAGAUACCCUGGUAGUCCUAGCCGUAAACGGUGCACGUUUGCUGUAAAAGGAAUCGACCCCUUUUGUGGCGUAGCCAACGCGUUAAACGUGCCGCCUGGGAAGUACGGUCGCAAGAUUAAA